CUAGUAAUGGCAGGUCAGCAUACUGCCGUGAAUACGUUCCCGGGCCUUGUACACACCGCCCGUCACACCAUGAGAGUUGGGAUACCCGAAGCCUGUGAGCUAACAGUAAUGGAGCAGCAGUCGAAGGUAGAAUCAAUGAUUGGGGUGAAGUCGUAACAAGGUAAC
rnacentral:rRNA from 1 species